rnacentral:tRNA from 1 species
GGGCUGGGGCUCAGUGGCAGAACACUUGCCUCACAGGUGAGAGGCACUGAGUUCGAUCCUCAGCACCACA